AAGGGCCCACAAGAACGCGUGGAGAUGUGGCUUAAUUUGACUCAACGCGGGAAAUCUUACCGGGUCCGGACACACUGAGGAUUGACAGAUAUAUGCAUAGAGGUUUAUACCCCUAUGCUUAAAGAUGCUAGCUCUUUCAUGAUUAUGUGAUAGGUGGUGCAUGGCCGUUCUUAGUUCGUGGAGUGAUCUGUCUGCUUAAUUGCGUAUCAAUAAUAGAGACCUAGUAUACGCGUAGACUCGUAUGGUAGUGACCCCCUCACUUUAUUGUGAGGCGCGUGUCGCACAUUCGUUAUACGCACAGGUCUCCGAUAGCAACGAACGUGACCGUAUUCUAUUGUUGCAGUGAAAUGUUUGCCUCGGCAACGACCCCACUGCUUAGUAUGCGUUAGGUUGAGCCUUCGGGCAAAAACUAAACGACAUACAUUAAACUAUAGAGACCGCUGUUUCCUCUUUAAACCAGAGGAAGGAUACGGCAAUAACAGGUCUGUGAUGCUCUCAGAUGUUCCGGGCUGCACACGUGCUACAAUGAUCAUUGCACUGUGCAUCUAACCCAAUGUGCGCGGACGCCGCGGUAUGUACUAUUUCGCUUCGGCGUGUGAUACAUAUUUGUUUCGUGCGACCGCGCCGAACCUACUUCGAAAGUAAAAUUUCUCAGUGGGUAAUCCAUUAGAAGUAAUGACUCGCAUAGACCAUGGCACACUAUAUGUACGCGCAGGUCUACCCGGCUCGCCUUUGUGUGAGUGCAGUGUUGUAGCCUGUCUGUUUCGUACGUGCCACUCCGUAUUAAUUCGUACGUGGGGAUAGAUCAUUGUUUAAUUGUUGGUCUCGGUCUUAACUAGGAAUGCCUUGUACGGGUCUUUGGUUCAACAUACCACCCGGAAUACGUCCCUGCCCUUUGUACACACCGCCCGUCGCUAUUACCGAUGGAUUAUACUAUGAAUCUAUAGGACUGCCAAAGCUGCAUUGCGUUCGCNCAUCGCACUUAGUGGAAAUAUAUAUGAAUAGUGUGAUCUAAAGGAAAGAGAAGUCGAACAAGGCA
rnacentral:rRNA from 1 species